CGUAAAAAGUCGGAGGAAAGUGGGAUGACGUCAAAUCAUCAUGCCCUUAUGACCUGGGCUACACACGUGCUACAAUGGGCGAGACAGAGCGACGCGAAGCCGCGAGGUGGAGCAAAUCGCAGAAAAUCGCCCUCAGUUCGGAUUGGAGUCUGAAACCCGACUCCAUGAAGGUGGAAUCGCUAGUAAUCGCGCAUCAGCAUGGCGCGGUGAAUACGUUCCCGGGCCUU
rnacentral:rRNA from 1 species